UGGCUCGGGCAGGCAUGGCCAAAAUGAAGGGGAUGGACAGUGGUCUGGACAUGGGGGGUGAAAGGUUUGGAGAAACAGCAGAGGAAUUUUGAUGACACGAAGCUGAAAGCAGGGCAACGUGUCACCGUCUACAGAUGGGCACUAAUAAAUGUGCCAGUCAGUCAGGGAUGACAGCCUAUGGCGCCAGGCAGCACCUGUAUGACCCCAAGAACCAGAUCCUACCACCAACGGACCACUCCACCCUCACUCUGCAGAUGGGCACUUUCAAAUGUGCCCGUCAAGUUAGAAUGGAACAUCUUGCCUUUUGA